rnacentral:rRNA from 1 species
AGUCACUGACAUUAGAUACCCGGUAGUCCCAGCCGUAAACUAUGCGCGUUAGGUGUACUGGUGACCACGAGUCACCGGGGUGCCGAAGGGAAACCGUGAAACGUGCCGCCUGGGAAGUACGGUCGCAAGGAUGAAACUUAAAGGAAUUGGCGGGGGAGCACCGCAACGGGAGGAGCGUGCGGUUUAAUUGGAUUCAACACCGUAAAACUCACCAGGGAAGACUGUUACAUGAAGGCCGAGAUGAAGACUCUGCUAGAUUUUCAG